rnacentral:lncRNA from 1 species
UUUGUCGAUUCGUCCAUAUUAAAUUUUUUUUUUCUCUGUUGAGGCAUAUGAUCGAAAGAUUUCAUAUUGAAUGUAUCUAAUUUUGGGUCCGACGUCCGUGAACUUUUUACUCUUUCAACUUCUUUUCGGGAACCACGUAAAAGGAUCAAUAUAUGAAUCUGUUAUUUUUCUUUACUGUUGAAGCAUAUGAUAAAAAGAUCAUAACAU